CGUCGCGGGAGCCGCGCACGAUCUCGCGUUCGCACCGCCGGUUGGUCAGGCAAUCGGUGGCAUCCGGCGCUUCGAAUUGCGUCCGCGACGC
rnacentral:tRNA from 1 species